GACGAGCGCUGGCGGCGUGCUUAACACAUGCAAGUCGAACGGAAAGGCCUGCUUUCCCUUGUGGAUUGCGGGUACUCGAGUGGCGAACGGGUGAGUAACACGUGAGUGAUCUGCCCCCAACUUGGGUAUAAGCCUGGGAAACUGGGUCUAAUUCCCGAUAGGACUGCAGGGUGGUGCCUGUGGUGGAACACGAUUUUCUAGUGGUUGGGGAUGAGCUCGCGGCCUAUCAGCUUGUUGGUGGGGUAAUGGCCUACCAAGGCGGCGACGGGUAGCCGGCCUGGGAGGGUGGACGGCCACAUUGGGACUGAGAUACGGCCCAGACCCCUACGGGAGGCAGCAGUGGGGAAUAUUGCACAAUGGGCGGAAGCCUGAUGCAGCGACGCCGCGUGGGGGAUGACGGCCUUCGGGUUGUAAACUCCUUUCGACCGCGAGGAAGCCACCUGGUUGGAAGGGUGGUGACGGUAGUGGUAGAAGAAGCACCGGCUAACUACGUG
rnacentral:rRNA from 1 species